rnacentral:rRNA from 1 species
UACGUAGGGUGCGAGCGUUGUCCGGAAUUAUUGGGCGUAAAGGGCUCGUAGGCGGUCUGUUGCGUCAGGAGUGAAAACUCGGGGCUUAACCCCGAGCCUGCUUCUGAUACGGGCAGACUAGAGGUAUGCAGGGGAGAACGGAAUUCCUGGUGUAGCGGUGAAAUGCGCAGAUAUCAGGAAGAACACCAAUGGCGAAGGCAGCUCUCUGGGACGGUACUGACGCUGAGACGCGAAAGCGUGGGGAGCGAACAGG